rnacentral:rRNA from 1 species
CCUACGGGAGGCAGCAGUGAGGAAUAUUGGUCAAUGGCCGCAGGGCUGAACCAGCCAAGUCGCGUGAGGGAUGACGGUCCUAGGGAUUGUAAACCUCUUUUGUCAGGGAGCAAAGGGUGCCACGUGUGGCUUUUUUCAAUUACCUUAACAAAAAGCAUCGGCAAACUUCGUUCCAGAAGCCGCGGUAAUAUGGGGGAUGCGGGCGUUAUCCGGAUUUAUUGGGCUAAAAGGGUGCGAGGGGGGAAUGUAAUGUCAAGGGUAAAAUUUCGGGGCUCAGCCCCGUCGUGCAGUUGAAACUGGCGUGCUUGAGUGAGCGAGAAGUAUGCAGAAUGCGUGGUGUAGCGGUGAAAUGCAUAGAUAUCAGGCAGAACACCGAUUGCGAAGGCAGCAUCCCGGA